UAGGGAAUCUUCGGCAAUGGGGGGAACCCUGACCGAGCAACGCCGCGUGAGUGAAGAAGGUUUUCGGAUCGUAAAGCUCUGUUGUUAAGGAAGAACGAGUGUGAGAAUGGAAAGUUCAUACUGUGACGGUACUUAACCAGAAAGGGACGGCUAACUACGUGCCAGCAGCCGCGGUAAUACGUAGGUCCCGAGCGUUGUCCGGAUUUAUUGGGCGUAAAGCGAGCGCAGGCGGUUAGAUAAGUCUGAAGUUAAAGGCAGUGGCUCAACCAUUGUAGGCUUUGGAAACUGUUUAACUUGAGUGCAGAAGGGGAGAGUGGAAUUCCAUGUGUAGCGAUGAAGUGCGUAGAUAUAUGGAGGAACGCCGGUAGCGAAAGCGGCUCUCUGGUCUGUAACUGACGCUGAGGCUCGAAAGCGUGGGGAGCGAACAGG
rnacentral:rRNA from 1 species